AGUGGAUUGGAGAGAGAAAAGACAUAAAUCUAGCUAACCUGAGCUCACCACUUAUCACAUGUCCUGAUCAAUACCGCUGCUUCCUAGGAAAUUAGUACAAACUCCCUUGAUCUAUGACAUAACCCCACUUACAUCACUUUUUUUUUUGGAUUUCCUUGAUUUGAUCUCAGUCCAGGUCUGAGGCUAGUCUUCCGGAUGCCAGGAAUCAUGUGGGACAAGAGGCAAACAUCUCCUGAGAUGCCAGGGAGCGCUAUUCUUAACCCAAUCAAAGAGGCAGCUGAGCUUUGUGAAGAGAGGAGCCACAAAGCUUCCCCAUUUGCUAACCUCAGCUGUCAUCCAAGUACUCACAGGAAAUUCGUGCUUCCGCUUCAUCCACAGGUUUUGGAGUCUCACACUCUUGCAGUAAGGCAUCCUUCCCGAACCCCAGGGGUGCACCUCUUCACCCUCACAACACUAUGAGUUCUUCUAAGAAGUCCUCCUUUAAGUCAUCCAGCCCAGUGGAAAGACAAACGCAGUAGAUGAUCUUGGCAUCCUCAAAAUCUAAUCAAGAUCUAAGUGCUGCUUCUGCAGCCUUCAUGGCUAUUGAAAUAAAUUAUUAUCUUUUACCUCUUCUGAUGGCA
rnacentral:lncRNA from 1 species